UUAUAAUAUUGGAGACAGGAAUUACUGUAAUUAAAUCAAAAAGAGUUUACAUGUAGUAAUACAAUUAAAAAAAAAAGUAAGUCCAAGAAAGACAAAUAUUAGAGCUAAGUUUAUUAUAUAAUAACUCUGCAAGCAAGGUUUCCAUCAUCUGUUGACAUUACAGUUUGACUAAUCAAAUAAUGAAGGAUAAGCAGUGAGAGGAUGGCACUUCAUGGUUCAGAUAUUAUAAAAAUUGUUGAAUGCAAUUCCGGCUUAUUACAAUGAAAAAGUGAAGCCCUCUGAUGUGGUCCCGCAAAACACACAUUCCUGAAACUUUCUGGGAACCUUGCUUGCAAACCACGUGAAAAUGAAGCCAAAAGGUUGUGGGAACUG